ensembl:lncRNA
AAGAAUCAAGCAUGAAUACUUCGUUGGCAUUGUUGCAGCAGUUGACUCAAGUUGUCUUACGUGAUUUUGAAACCGGGGCCCUGUCCACUAUGUCCUCAGAGGAUGUUCUUUUUGUGUUGAGUGAAAUUGAGUCUGGACUGUCUUCUGCCACUGCUUCAGAAGUCUUGGUGUCAAUUGCUACAAACUUUAUUAAACUGGCUAGUCUGCUGCUGGAGCCCCACAUGGCGGCACAGUGGAUGGGACAGACAGAAGAUGGAGAUAGUGUUGGACCAUUUAAUAUUGUUAAAACUAUUGACAUUCUCACUGAAACUCUUGCUGACAUGUUCUCGGUAGAAAAACGCAAUUUUACGCUCUUCACAAAAAAUAUAGGUGUCUACAUGAAGUGCCAAACUCUUUCUAAUACAAGCAAAAGUGAAGUCUUUAAACCGUCCUCUGUGGCUCCUCACUCCUCCG